rnacentral:rRNA from 1 species
UAGGGAAUCUUCGGCAAUGGACGAAAGUCUGACCGAGCAACGCCGCGUGAGUGAAGAAGGUUUUCGGAUCGUAAAACUCUGUUGUUAGAGAAGAACAAGGACGUUAGUAACUGAACGUCCCCUGACGGUAUCUAACCAGAAAGCCACGGCUAACUACGUGCCAGCAGCCGCGGUAAUACGUAGGUGGCAAGCGUUGUCCGGAUUUAUUGGGCGUAAAGCGAGCGCAGGCGGUUUCUUAAGUCUGAUGUGAAAGCCCCCGGCUCAACCGGGGAGUGUCAUUGGUAACUGGGAGACUUGAGUGCAGAAGAGGGGAGUGGAAUUCCAUGUGUAGCGGUGAAAUGCGUAGAUAUAUGGAGGAACACCAGUAGCGAAGCCGGCUCUCUGGUCUGUAACUGGAGCUGAGGCUCGAAAGCGUGGGGAGCAAACAGG